rnacentral:tRNA from 1 species
GGGGCUGUAGCUCAGCUGGGAGAGCGCCGCGUUCGCAAUGCGGAGGCCUGGAGUUCGAUCCUCCACAGCUCCACCA